rnacentral:tRNA from 1 species
AAGCCCGUGGCUCAAUGGGAAGAGCGUUUGACUUCUGAUCAACAGAUCGCGGGCUGG